rnacentral:misc_RNA from 1 species
GAUGAAGAACGUAGCGAAAUGCGAUAAGUAAUGUGAAUUGCAGAAUUCAGUGAAUCAUCGAAUCUUUGAACGCAUCUUGCGCUCCUUGGUAUUCUGAGGAGCAUGCCUGUUUGAGUGUCAUUAAAUUCUCAACUACACUGACUUUGAAUUGGUGUGGCUUGGAUUUGGGGGGAAAAUUGUUGUGGGCUUUUUGUAUAGUCUGCUCCCCUGAAAUUGAUUAGCGGUACCUUUGUGGAACUGUCUACAGGUGUGAUAAUUAUCUACAUCUUAGACAUCUGCUGGAAUGCUGCUUUCUAAACCUUACUUGAAUUGACAAUCUUGACCUCAAAUCAGGUAGGACUACCCGCUGAACUUAAGCAUAUCAAUAAGCGGAGGA